rnacentral:rRNA from 1 species
AUCCUGGCUCAGAGUGAACGCUGGCGGCAGGCCUAAUACAUGCAAGUCGAACGGCAGCACAGCAGAGCUUGCUCUGUGGGUGGCGAGUGGCGGACGGGUGAGGAAUACGUGGGAAUCUGCCCAGUCGUGGGGGAUAACGUAGGGAAACUUACGCUAAUACCGCAUGCGCCCUUCGGGGGAAAGCCGGGGACCUUCGGGCCUGGCGCGAUUGGAUGAGCCCACGUCGGAUUAGCUAGUUGGCGGGGUAAAGGCCCACCAAGGCGACGAUCCGUAGCUGGUCUGAGAGGAUGAUCAGCCACACUGGAACUGAGACACGGUCCAGACUCCUACGGGAGGCAGCAGUAGGGAAUAUUGGACAAUGGGCGCAAGCCUGAUCCAGCCAUGCCGCGUGUGUGAAGAAGGCCCUCGGGUUGUAAAGCUCUUUUGUCCGGAAAGAAAAGCGCCGGGUUAAUACCCUGGUGUCCUGACGGUACCGGAAGAAUAAGCACCGGCUAACUUCGUG